rnacentral:rRNA from 1 species
CAAAGGAGCAAUCCGCUGAAAGAUGGGCUCGCGUCCGAUUAGGUAGUUGGCGGGGCAACGGCCCACCAAGCCGACGAUCGGUAGCCGGACUGGGAGGUUGAACGGCCACAUUGGGACUGAGACACGGCCCAGACUCCUACGGGAGGCAGCAGUGAGGGAUAUUGGUCAAUGGGGGAAACCCUGAACCAGCAACGCCGCGUGAGGGAAGACGGUUUUCGGAUUGUAAACCUCUGUCCUCUGUGAAGAUGAUGACGGUAGCAGAGGAGGAAGCUCCGGCUAACUACGUGCCAGCAGCCGCGGUAAUACGUAGGGAGCAAGCGUUGUCCGGAUUUACUGGGUGUAAAGGGUGCGUAGGCGGCUUUGCAAGUCAGAAGUGAAAUCCAUGGGCUUAACCCAUGAACUGCUUUUGAAACUGCAGAGCUUGAGUGGAGUAGAGGUAGGCGGAAUUCCCGGUGUAGCGGUGAAAUGCGUAGAGAUCGGGAGGAACACCAGUGGCGAAGGCGGCCUGCUGGGCUCUAACUGACGCUGAGGCACGAAAGCGUGGGUAGCAAACAGGAUUAGAUACCCUGGUAGUCCACGCUGUAAACGAUGAUUACUAGGUGUGGGUGGACUGACCCCAUCC